rnacentral:rRNA from 1 species
CCUGGUUGAUCCUGCCAGUAGUCAUAUGCUUGUGUUAAAGAUUAAGCCAUGCAUGUCUAAGUAUAAACUAUUCUUAUGGUGAAACUGCGAAUGGCUCAUUAAAUCAGUAAUUGUUUAUUUGGUGGUACAAAGUACUUGGAUAACCCUGUUAAUUGUAGAGCUAAUACAUGCCAGAAUACUGGAAUCAAUUGGGGCAACUCAAUUUGAUGAAGGUAGCACUUGUUAGCUUGAAGCCAAUGCGGUUCUCUUCACGGGGGACCGGUACGUGGCGAGUCAUAACAAUUGAGCGAAUCGCAUGGCCUAGCGCCGGCGAUGCUCCAUUCGAAUUUCUGACCUAUCAACUUUCGAUGGUAGGAUCGGGGCCUACCAUGGUUGUAACGGGUAACGGGGAAUUAGGGUUUGAUUCCGGAGAGGGAGCUUGAGAAACGGCUACCACUUCCAAGGAAGGCAGCAGGCGCGCAAAUUACCCAAUCCCGAUACGGGGAGGUAGUGACAACAAAUAACAAUACAGGUCCCACAAGGGUCUUGUAAUUGGAAUGAGUACAAUUUAAACCCCUUAACAAGGAACAAUUGGAGGGCAAGUCUGGUGCCAGCAGCCGCGGUAAUUCCAGCUCCAUUAGUGUAUAUUAAAGUUGUUGCGGUUAAAAAGCUCGUAGUUGGAUUUCGGGACCUUGGGAGGUUUGGUCCGCUCUACGUAGUGUGCACUAACCACCCGGUUCCUUUCCUUCUGGAUGCUCGCCGCUGCUCUUAACUGAGUGGUGGUUAAAAGGAAUGGGUUUUUAGAUGGACCUCAGGGUUCAUUUAUGAUUCAUUUCGAGUUCCAGAUCAAUUACUUUGAAAAAAUUAGAGUGUUCAAAGCAGGCGGUUUGAGCCUUGAAUACAUUAGCAUGGGAUAAUGCCAUAGGACUCUGUUCCUAUUUCGUUGGUUUCUGGGAAUGGAGUAAUGAUUAAUAGGGAUAGUUGGGGUGAUUUAUAUUUAAUUGUCAGAGGUGAAAUUCUUGGAUUUCUGAAAGAUAAACUUCUGCGAAAGCAUUUCACAAGGAUGUUUUCAUUAAUCAAGAACGAAAGUUGGGGGAUCGAAGGUGAUCAGAUACCGCUGUAGUCUCAACCAUAAACCAUGCCGACCAGGGAUUGGAUGACGUUACUUAUAUGACUCUUCCAGCACCUUGUGAGAAAUCACAAGUCUUUGGGCUUCGGGGGGAGUAUGGUCGCAAGGCUGAAACUUAAAGGAAUUGACGGAAGGGCACCACCAGGAGUGGAGCCUGCGGCUUAAUUUGACCCAACACGGGAAAACUUACCAGGUCCGGACAGCAGAAGGAUUGACAGAUUGAUAGCUCUUUCUUGAUUUGCUGGGUGGUGGUGCAUGGCCGUUCUUAGUUGGUGGAGUGGUCUGUCUGGUUAAUUCCGAUAACGAACGAGACCUUAACCUGCUAAAUAGUUACGCUAGCCUGCUAUUCGUAUUC